rnacentral:rRNA from 1 species
GACGAGUCGAGUUGUUUGGGAAUGCAGCUCUAAAUGGGUGGUAAAUUUCAUCUAAAGCUAAAUAUUGGCCAGAGACCGAUAGCGCACAAGUAGAGUGAUCGAAAGAUGAAAAGCACUUUGAAAAGAGAGUUAAAAAGUACGUGAAAUUGUUGAAAGGGAAGCGCUGGCAACCAGACUUGCGCGUCGGGGUUCCCCCUUGCUUCUGCUUGGGUUACUCCCCGGCGUUCAGGCCAACAUCGGUUUCGGGGGUUGGUUAAAGGCCCUGGGAAUGUACCUACCCUCCGGGGUAGACUUAUAGCCCAGGGUGUCAUGCGACCUCCCGGGACCGAGGAACGCGCUUCGGCUCGGAUGUUGGCGUAAUGGUUGUCAGCGACCCGUCUUGAAACACGGACCAAGGAGUCUAACAUCUAUGCGAGUGUUAGGGUGUCAAACCCUUACGCGGAAUGAAAGUGAACGGAGGUAGGAAGCCGUUAGGCUGCACUAUCGACCGAUCCUGAAAUUUAUGGAAGGAUUUGAGUAAGAGCAUAGCUGUUGGGACCCGAAAGAUGGUGAACUAUGCCUGAAUAGGGUGAAGCCAGAGGAAACUCUGGUGGAGGCUCGCAGCGGUUCUGACGUGCAAAUCGAUCGU